AGGACUAACGUACGACCGCGUCCGCUUUCCCCGCUGGGUGCCGAGUCAACGACUCCGCUGCCACCCUACCUGCAUACGGCUCCGCAACCAGAAAACACCCGAGUUCCUUCCAUUCCCACCCAAAAAUCUAGCCAAAAAAGCCCAACCAAAAUGCUGCCUGCCCGCCCCCUCCUCGUGGCCGCCGCCGUCUUCCUCCUCCUCCUCCCCGUUCACGUCGCCAUCGUCGCCGCACAGGGGUUUCGCGGCUUCUCUUACCUCCUAAACUGUGGCGCGGCGUCCCCCACCACCGACAGCCGCGGCCUCCGCUGGGAUCCCGAUGGCGACUAUGUCUCUGCCGGUACCCCCGGCGUGGUCUCGCUCUCGGGCCUCAUCAACCCCACGCUUGCCACCCUUCGCACCUUCCCGCUCCGCUACGGGGCCAAGUUCUGCUACGAGCUCCCCGUGGAUCGGAACCGCCGCUACCUCAUCCGCCCCACAUUCUUCUACGGCGCGCUCUUCGCCUCCUCCUCUGCACCGCCGCCGCCCGUCUUCGACCUGAUCGUGGACGGUACCUUCUGGACCGCCGUCAACACCACCGAUGACGCGCUGGCCGGCGCCGCGUCGUCCUACGAGGGCGUGUUCCCUGCGAGUGGCAGGAACAUGAGCUUCUGUCUCGGGGUGAACCCGGACUAUACCGACGCCAGGCCAUUCAUUUCCGCGCUGCAGGUGAUCCAGCUCGACGAUUCCGUGUACAACGCAACUGAUUUCCCGACCAGCGCGAUGGGCCUCAUUGCUCGCACCAAGUUUGGCUCCACUGGCGGCAUCGAGAGGUACCCUAAUGACAGUUUUGAUCGCUAUUGGCAGCCAUUUCCAGACGACAAGCAUGCUGUCAGUAGCACCCAAAAUGUUACAUCAGCCGACUUCUGGAAUCUUCCCCCUCCUGAUGUGUUUAACACAGCUUUCAUAGCAGAACAAGAUGCACCGCUUGUGUUACAAUGGCCUCCAGUGCCUCUCCAAAAUGAUAGCUAUUAUGUCGCCCUCUACUUUGCUGAUACAUUGCCUGAUAAUUCAAGGACCUUUGACGUGUAUAUAAAUGAUUACCUCUUUUUCAAAGAUCUAAAUGUCACAUCAGCUGGUCUUUCUGUCUUUGCAACACAAUGGAUUCUCUCAGGCUUGACCACAAUUAUAUUGAAAUCUGCUUCUCCUUCUGCUCUUCCUCCACUUAUUAAUGCUGGCGAGGUUUUUGGGCUUUUUCCUGUUGGAAGAUUGACAUAUGCACGGGAUGUACUUGCCCUGGAGAGUAUAAAGAAAAGCCUUCAAAAUAUACCUGAAGAUUGGAAUGGAGAUCCAUGCAUGCCUUCAGGAUAUUCUUGGACCGGAGUUACAUGUGAUGAAGGAUCAAAAAUACGUGUCAUCUCAUUGAACUUUUCAAGUAUGAGUCUCUCUGGAUUUCUUUCACCAGAUAUUGCCAAACUGACUGCUUUGACUGAUAUAUCUUUGGCACACAACAUGCUCAGUGGGCCUAUUCCGAAUCUUAGCAACCUAAGAAAUCUCCAACGACUGCACUUGCAAGAAAAUCAGCUAUCUGGAUCGGUACCUGAGACAUUGGGUACAAUCAAUACAUUGCGUGAAAUGUGAGUUAAUUUCAUCACUUUGUGCUUAUAGCUUGUUAUUCUCCUUUUCAAUUUGACAUGAUUUUUUUCAUGUUGAAACAAAUUAUCAGAACCAGCAUAGAGUGUUCAUGAUCUUCAAUUUAGUCGUGUUUUCAUGCUUUGAAUUGCUGCACAUCUAUUCUGACAAGUACAUAUGUCAAUAUGUGCCGCAUGCUUGAAGAACACAAGAAGUUGACAGUAGAUGUAAACUUGUGACAUUAGUUAAUGUUAUAUGAUGUAUUUUGGUCCUUACUUUGUAUCAGUAUGCAUUUCAAGUUUAUUAUUAUGCAUAUAGCGGAAUGAUAUAACAUAUCUCUGCAAGUCCAAUAGCAUAUAUGAUCUUACUAAUGUGCUCCCUAAUUCACAAUAUCUGUCCAAUUUAUUAGGAUUUACUUCUUACAGUAUCUCUCUGUUGGGAGUAUGCCAAUGGUUUGAGCAAGCCAUUGAAAAGGAGACUAGCAUGUUAUAACAUUUUUUCUGUUAGUUACUUCAAUUCUCUUAUCACCACUACAAUUUUGAAUGUGAUCUAUGUGCUAGCAUUAUAGCACACAAAAUUCUUGGUGCAGACCGAAUGUCUGUCCAGUACAGCUGCAGAACAUCUGCAAUGAAAUACACUAUCCUGUUAAAAGUGUAAGACAUAAACUUGUCGGAUACUACCUUAACCCCGCUUGAAAGUAGCCAAAUUUGUUCGUAACUCUAUCCAUGAGUAAUGCAAUAUGAGUUCCCAACACAAAAAAUGAAAGUGUCCCAAGUACCAAGUCAAUCAUGGAGUUUGUGAAAAAGGCUGCCUGGCCCAGGAAGCGAUCUCAGGCAUCCAAAUUUGGUUGCCUUCGGUCAGAUCUUGUUGCCUCUCAGGGCUGUAAAGAAACAGGAUUGCUGCCAUGUUCAAUUUUUACAAUACAAUAAUUUAACUGGAACAGUUCCGGAGAACUUACUGAACAAUACAGGAUUGACAUACACAUUUCUGCCAGGGAAUAGCUUCUCUCCAAAACCACCGCAUUGAGAACCAGGCAGUUUGUACGACAAACUACUCUGUGUAACAUGAUUCAGAUUUCAGAGGUAGCAGGAAUGUUGUUGAUUCUUCUAGGGUAGCUGUACAUUUUUUUAACCAUUCUGUGCAUAAAGGGGAGAUAGCAGUACAGUUAUUCAAACCAAUCAAGGAGGUUGGCAACAUGGUGGCAAGAUACAUAUAUUGGUUUUGGUUAGCAAUGUUUGGUUCCAGAGACUAAAGUUCAGUCAGUUCAAAUCGAAUGUUUGAAUAUCCA